rnacentral:lncRNA from 1 species
UAUAAUCAAACUUUGUUCUUCGUCUACUCUUGUUAGAGUUUUAUGAAAUAAAAUUGUUGACCAAAAUAAAAAGUUUGACCAAAAAAAAAAAAAAAUUAAAACAGAAGCUAAACCAAAUAGUACAAACUAUUACAUGAUAGAUUUGGUUCACUUCGGUAUAACUGUUAUUCCUAAAUUAAAUCUAAGAAUAAAAACAACAAAACAAACACAAAAAAUAACAGCAUACCAGCCGGGUACGUAAUCACCUCAAAACAGACACACACAGACAUAUAAAAUCCAAUAAUUAAACCCAAUAUUAUACAAGUAUCAUUAGUAUUGUUUCUUCAAGUAUAAGUAUUUGAUCAGGUUUCGUAGACUAGUACUUUAACAGAACCUCACCAUUAAUUAGCCCAUGUUUAGAGCAGUAUCAAUUUCGAAACAAAGGAUACACAUAAAUUUUCAUAUUUUAGUGGUGAUCCCAUGUUUUCAACUCAAAAGAAUGUGAUUGUAUAUAUAAAAUGUGUCUAUAUAAUAUGAGACCCAGCAGAAAUAAAUAACUCUCCCUC